rnacentral:lncRNA from 1 species
UCCAAAUGAGAUGAUGUAAAAAGUAAAGUUUAAGUUUGAAACGAGUAGAACACAAUGGUAUCUUGUUUCAUUGAAAAUAAUGACUUGAACAUGGUGAAAAGUGAACAACAAGGUGGCUUCAUGAACAUGGAUACAACCGAAAAUAAUGUUACAAACUCAAAGCUUAAUGAACAUGCCUCAUAUUGAAGGGUUCAUAAGACAAACAUGGCAUAUUAUUUACAUGGAAAAUAAGCAUGGAACAAGCAUGACAUAAUGGAAAAGUAGCAUGAAGUAAUCAUGGAAAAA